rnacentral:rRNA from 1 species
UACGUAGGGUGCAAGCGUUGUCCGGAAUUAUUGGGCGUAAAGAGCUCGUAGGCGGCUUGUCGCGUCUGCUGUGAAAAUCCAGGGCUUAACCCUGGACCUGCAGUGGGUACGGGCAGACUGGAGUGCGGUAGGGGAGAUCGGAAUUCCUGGUGUAGCGGUGAAAUGCGCAGAUAUCAGGAGGAACACCGGUGGCGAAGGCGGAUCUCUGGGCCGUAACUGACGCUGAGGAGCGAAAGCAUGGGGAGCGAACAGG